CCCUGAGACUUUAAGUCUCCUGAAGGAACGUUGAAGACGACGACGUUGAUAGGCCGGGUGUGUAAGCGCAGCGAUGCGUUGAGCUAACCGGUACUAAUGAACCGUGAGGCUUAACCUUACAACGCCGAAG
rnacentral:rRNA from 1 species